rnacentral:pre_miRNA from 10 species
CUUCUUCGUCUCCGGCCUGUUUCUUCGUCUCCAUGGCCGGAGAUGAAGAAAUCGUCGUCUCCGGCCGUGGAGACGAAGAAACUGGCCGGAGACGAAGAAGU